rnacentral:rRNA from 1 species
GAUGAACGCUGGCGGCGUGCCUAAUACAUGCAAGUCGAGCGAACAGACGAGGAGCUUGCUCCUCUGACGUUAGCGGCGGACGGGUGAGUAACACGUGGAUAACCUACCUAUAAGACUGGGAUAACUUCGGGAAACCGGAGCUAAUACCGGAUAAUAUAUUGAACCGCAUGGUUCAAUAGUGAAAGACGGUUUUGCUGUCACUUAUAGAUGGAUCCGCGCCGCAUUAGCUAGUUGGUAAGGUAACGGCUUACCAAGGCAACGAUGCGUAGCCGACCUGAGAGGGGGAUCGGCCACACUGGAACUGAGACACGGUCCAGACUCCUACGGGAGGCAGCAGUAGGGAAUCUUCCGCAAUGGGCGAAAGCUUGACGGAGCAACGCCGCGUGAGUGAUGAAGGUCUUCGGAUCGUAAAACUAUGUUAUUAGGGAAGAACAAAUGUGUAAGUAACUAUGCACGUCUUGACGGUACCUAAUCAGAAAGCCACGGCUAACUACGU